CGUCCUGAGGGUACCCGGAGAAAAAGCAUCGGCUAACUCCGUGCCAGCAGCCGCGGUAAUACGGAGGAUGCGAGCGUUAUCCGGAUUUAUUGGGUUUAAAGAGUGCGUAGGCGGGAUGCCAAGUCAGCGGUCAAAUACGGGGGCUCAACCUGCGUCCGCCGUUGAAACUGGCGUUCUUGAGUGGGCGAGAAGUACGCGGAAUGCGUGGUGUAGCGGUGAAAUGCAUAGAUAUCACGCAGAACCCCGAUUGCGAAGGCAGCGUACCGGCGCCCAACUGACGCUGAAGCACGAAAGCGUGGGUAUCGAACAGGAUUAGAUACCCUGGUAGUCCACGCAGUAAACGAUGAACACUAAUUGUCCGGCGGGGUUUGCCGCUGG
rnacentral:rRNA from 1 species